rnacentral:rRNA from 1 species
CCAGACUCCUACGGGAGGCAGCAGUGGGGAAUAUUGCACAAUGGGGGGAACCCUGAUGCAGCGACGCCGCGUGGGUGAAGAAGUCAUUCGUGACGUAAAGCCCUAUCAGCAGGGAAGAAAAUGACGGUACCUGACUAAGAAGCCCCGGCUAACUACGUGCCAGCAGCCGCGGUAAUACGUAUGGUGCAAGCGUUAUCCGGAGUUACUGGGUGUAAAGGGAGCGCAGGCGGCGCGUUAAGCCUGGUGUGAAAGCCCGCGGCGCAACCGCGGGACUGCAUUGGGAACUGGCGCGCUGGAGUGCCGGAGGGGUAGGCGGAAUUCCUAGUGUAGCGGUGAAAUGCGUAGAUAUUAGGAGGAACACCAGUGGCGAAGGCGGCUUACUGGACUGUAACUGACGUUGAGGCUCGAAAGCGUGGGGAGCAAACAGGAUUAGAUACCCCGGUACA